AAGGUUUUAAGUUAAAGAAACUAUAAGCCUUCAAAGCUUAAAAUGAAAAAUAAUUUUUAAACCUUG
rnacentral:tRNA from 1 species